CACGUAGGGUGCGAGCGUUGUCCGGAAUUAUUGGGCGUAAAGAGCUCGUAGGCGGUCUGUCACGUCGGCUGUGAAAUCCCGAGGCUCAACCUCGGGUCUGCAGUCGAUACGGGCAAACUUGAGUGUUGCAGGGGAGACUGGAAUUCCUGGUGUAGCGGUGAAAUGCGCAGAUAUCAGGAGGAACACCGGUGGCGAAGGCGGGUCUCUGGGCAACAACUGACGCUGAGGAGCGAAAGCGUGGGGAGCGAACAGG
rnacentral:rRNA from 1 species